UCAAUGUUAAGCAGAGUUUAUAGAGUUCUUUUUUCUCCAUUCUUCAAGAAAAGAGUCAAAUACGCAAUUGUGGUUUCAUCAACGGAAAUGAAGAAGGAAGAAAUAGAACGAAUCAAUUUGCUGGGUCUUCAAUUUUCUGCAACAGUAGAGUUUUCAUCAACGAACACAAAGAUAAAGUCUUUCUCGUUUUAUACGGUAAUGUUUUUCCAAUUCUUCAUUAUUCAUUCAAUCUUCUGCUUGCUUGCUUGCUUGAAGAAAACAAAUAACAAUCAAAGAACCUUAAUUGAAAAGGUGUUCUUUCACAAGUUCCUGUUUGGUAGUACCUAUUAUUUUGAAAGAUUAUAGACCCAUUUUUUUAGUUUUGAUUAUUCAAGAACAUUCAAUCUUAUGCUUAACAAAAAGGUCAAAUCUUUUACCCAUUCAAUCUUUUGCUUGAGAAAAAAAAUUAGAAUCUUUUACCCAUUUUCUCAAUCUUGAAUAUUCAAGAACAUUUCAAUCUCCUGCUUGAGAAAUUAAAGUUAGAAUCUUUUAGCCAUUUUUCUCAUUCUUGAAUAUUCAAGAACAUUCAAUCUUCUGCUUGAGAAAAAAAGUUAGAAUAUUUUACUCAUUUUUCCCAUUCUUGAAUAUUCAAGAACAUUCAAUCUUCUUGCCUGAGAAAUAAAUUAAAAAAAAACCUUAAAUUGAGCAAAUGUGUGCUAUGUCCGAAACCCUAUUCGGCAUCAAUGUUUUGAAAUCAUAUGAUUAAGGGAUGGUAUUUAAUGACGCCGAGAUGGAAUAUUUUUAUGACCCUAAUAGUGAAAUUGUCGCUGAGAUGAAAGAUUUUGAUGACCCUAAUAGUGAAAUUGUCGGUGAGAUGAAAUUGUAAUCAUAUGAUUACGGGAUGGUAUCAAAUGUCGCUGAGAUGGAAUGUUUUUACGACUCUAAUAGUGAAAUUGUCGCUGAGAUGGAAUGUUUUUAUGACCCUAAUAGUGAAAUUGUCGCUGAGAUGAAAUUGUAAUCAUAUGAUUAGGGGAUGGUAUCUAAUGUCGCUGAGAUGGAAUAUUUUUAUGACCCUAAUAGUGAAAUUGUCGCUGAUAUGGAAUAUUUUUAUGACCCUAAUAGUGUGGUAUACAUGAGCCUAAAAACGUUGGUUGAUGCCUUAAUGCGGAAGUUAGUUGUUGCCUAAAAUACAAUUUUAAUAUGAAAUUUUAUUCAUAAUUUAAGACUUGGAUGGUAUCUACUGUGCUUUGAUAACCUUAGUCCCUAAAUGCAAUUUUGCAAAUGCAAAAUGGAUUGUGACUUGUGUUGGAUUAUCCUACCGGUACAAAGAAACCGACUUUGUAAGGUUUUCAAAGGAAUUCUUUAAGGAAGGAACAAGUCAAGUGAAGCAAAGUACAAAGAAACCAGCUCUUUCGAGUUUGAACUAUUUCUAAUAGUAUCUAUCUGGUAUGUACAAAGAAACCAACUUUUUGUUUGUUACAUAAUGGAGUUUUGCACAUUUUUGGAAUUUUCAUUCCAACAUAUUUGCAUAUUAGCAUUUUUAACUCUUUAUUCAUGAUGCAAAAGUUGGAUGAUGGCUUUCAAUGCAAUUUUCAUACGAAAUUGUAAUCAUAUGAUUAAGGGAUGGUAUCUAAUGUCACUGAGAUGAAAUAUUUUUAUGACCCUAAUAGUGAAAUUGUCACUGAGAUGAAAUAUUUUAUUCAUUAUCUAUGAAGGGUGGUGUGGUAUACAUGAGCCAACUCUUUCGACAAUAAGAUAAAUAUACAUGAGCCUGAAAACGUUGGAUGAUUCCUUAAUGCGAAAGUUAGUUGUUGCCUAAAAUGCAAUUUUAUAUGAAAUUUUAUUCAUAAUUUACGGCUUGGAUGGUAUCUAUUGUGCUUUGAUGAACUUAGUCCCUAAAUGCAAUUUUGCCUAAAUGCAAAAUGGAUUGUGAUGUGUUGGAUUACCCUACUGGUAAGGGUUUCAAAGGAAUUCUCUAAUGAAGGAACAAGUCAAGUGAAGCAAAGUACAAAGAAACCAACUCUUUGGAGUUUGAACUAUUUCUAAUAUUUUUUGCUUAACAAAAAGGUACAAUCUUUUGCCCAUUUUUUUCAUUCUUGAUAAUUGAAGAACAUUCAAUCUUCUGCAUGAAAACAAACCUUAUUUGAGUAAAAAUGUUAUGUCACAAGACCCUUUUAUUUUUUUUUGAAUACUUGGUAAUCCGGCUCUUCACAAGACCCUAUAUACAUUGAAAGACAAUUUUCAUAUUGCAAAAGUUGGAUGAUGGCUUUCAAUACAAUUUUUAUACGAAAUUGUAAUCAUAUGAUUUAAGGGAUGGUAUCUAUUGUUGCUGAGAUGAAAUAUUUUUAUAACCCUAAUUGUGAAAUUGUUGCUUAGCCCAUUAUUUCGACAAUAAGAUGAAUAUACUCUUUGUUCCAUGAUUUUUGAUAGGUUGUCUUUGAUAGCCCAAAAAUGCAAUUUUACUGUGAAAUUUUAUUCAUAAUUUAAGGCUUGAAUGCUAUCUAUUGUGCUUUGAUGACCUUAGUCCCUAAAUGCAAUUUUGCCUAAAUGCAAAGGAAUUCUUUAAGGAAGGAACAUGUCAAGUGAAGCAAAGUACAAAGAAAUCAACUCUUUGGAGUUUGAACUAUUUCUCACAAUGUCUAUCUGGUAUAUAUUUCAUUAUGCAGAUCAACUCUUUGGAUGCUUGCAUUAUGAUCAAUGCAGGAAACCAUAAUGAGGGUUUAUCGGUCCAUAUUUUGAUUGCAUGCCUUUUACUCAUUUUUCUGCAAAUGUAUAUGCUAUCUUGCUUAAAAAAGGUACAAUCUUUUAUCCAUUUUCUCAUUUUUGAAUAUUCAAGAACAUUCAAUCUUCAGCUUGAGGGAAAAAAGUUAGAAUCUUUUACCCUUUUUCUCAUUUUUGAAUAUUCAAGAACCUUCAAUAUUCUGCUUGAGGGAAAAAAAAACCCUUAAUUGAGCAAAUGUGUGCUAUGUAUGUGACCCUAUUUGGCAUCAACGAUUUGAAAGUCAAUUUUUUUAGAUGCAUAUGUUGUGAUACUGAUUUUUUUCAUUCUUGAUAAUCGAAGAACAUUCAAAUCUUCUGCAUGAAAAAAACCUUAAUUGAGUAAACAUGUUAUGUACCAAGGCCCUAUAUAUUUUGAAAGACAAUUUUUUUGUUUGUUACGUAAUGGAGUUUUGCACAUUUUGGAAUUUUUAUUCCAACACAUUUGCAUAUUAGCAUUUUGAACUCUUUAUUCAUUAUGCAAAAGUUGGAUGAUGGCUUUCAAUCAUAUGAUUAAGGGAUGGUAUCUAAUGUCGCUGAGAUGAAAUAUUUUAUGACCCUAAUAGUGAUAUUGUCGCUGAGAUGAAAUAUUUAUUUUCAUUAUCUAUGAAGGGUGGUGUGGUAUACAUGAGCCCACUCUUUCGACAAUAAGAUAAAAACUUUGGAUGAUGCCUUAAUGCGAAAGCUAGUUGUUGCCUAAAAUGCAAUUUUAAUAUGAAAUUUUAUUCAUAGUUUAAAGCUUGGAAGGUAUCUAUUGUGCUUUGAUGACCUUAGUCCCUAAAUGCAAUUUUGCAAAUGCAAAAUGGAUUGUGACUUGUGUUGGAUUACCCUACUGGUAAGGGUUUCAAAGGAAUUCUCAAAGAAAGGAACAUGUCUAGUGAAGCAAAGUACAAAGAAACCAACUCUUUGGAGUCUGAACUUUUUCUAAUAGUAUCUAUCUGGUAUGUAUUGCAUUAUGCAGACCAACUCUUUGGAUGUUUGCAUUGUGACCAAUGGAGGAAACCAUAAUGAGGUUGUAUCGGUCCAUAUUUUGACCGCAAACAUUUUAUGAAAAUUCGAUAAGUGCAGUACACAAAUUGCAAUUGAUGAACAGAAGCACUUGAUCUUUUAGGCAGUCCCAAGACCCUGUUUGGUACCGAUAUUUUGAAUGAUUAACCUUUUCGUUUGCUACAGUUAUUUUAGAACUUUCAUUCCAAUAUGUGUACAUGAUGGGAUACCUGUUCUUUCAUUUUUUAUUAUUCAACAGUAUUCAAUCUUCUGCUUGAAAAAAAAGGCAGAACCUUGCCCAUUUUUUCUCAUUCUUGAUUAUUCAAGAAUAUUCAAUUCUCUGCCCCGAUUCCUUGUUUGGCACCAAUGUUUUCCAAGACAUUUUUUUUUUGUUUCUUACGAUAAUGGAGUUUUGCACAUUUUUGGAAUUUUCAUUGCAUCAUAUAUGCCUCGUCUGGUUUAUAGUCGAUACCUAUUGGGAACAAUGAUGGGCUGCCGAUUUUCUCAUUCUUGAUUAUUUGCCUUUGUAGAUACAUAAUAUGUCCUUGUAGGACCAACUGGUAUUUGGAGGGAAGAUGCUGAAAGGUACUGUUAGCAAAAUUAUAAAAGUAGAAUGAGAUGAGACCUAGUGAAGAAUGGGAAAGAUAACUAACUUUCUAUCUUCUAACAAUUUAGUUUUCUUUCCUUUUCUCUGCAUAAUGAGGAUUGUGUGUGACUUGAUUCUCUAUUUGAAAGGACAAAAUUCAAGUAUCUUGGCCAACAAGUGAAUUCAUGAAUAAAAGGCUAUCCUGGUUUACUUAAUCAACAACAUUAUGUCUGCUGUUGCUAGUCACCGUGGUAAUCUUCAGCUUACUGCUGUUAACCUUGGCAGUAGUGGAAUUCAGCUCUCUUUCCUUUUGGCCUAAUGGUAAUGCUAGCCACCAUUAAUUACUACUAUCACAUAUAGCAUGAGAAUUGAACUGUAAAUAUCUACUUGUAAAUGUGUUAAGUACUCAGUCAGUGCUAACUUUUCCAAUUGGGUCUGGACAUGAGGAAUUACCCUAUUUGUUAUUGUUGGAUGGUCUUGGACACUUCUUUUGGAAAGCAUUAUAUGGUGGACAACGUAUCUGUCAAAGUUUUUUGAUUGCAGACUUAUUAUGAAAAUUUAAUCUGAUUAAUCUUUUCUGUUUUACUUAUUAUGAAAAUCAGAUAAAACAAUGGUGUGUGAUUGACGGAUAAAAUUUGGUGGAUGUUGAUAUAAUAAUUAGAUAGCUCUAGAUCGGUGCUGAUAAUUGUAAAUGCAAGUCUUGGAUUAAGUUACGGAUAAUUGAUGAAUUGAUUAUGUAGGUGGUGUGUGUAGCAUAUAAACUUAUGAUGACCUUUCUUUUGGACAAUUUUUAGUACGACAAUUCUUGCAAUCGUACUGUGACUUUAUGGCCAAGCUAGACACUCCUUAUCCCAUAAUUAUUGAGAAAAUUCACAUUCUUUUAUUAGCGUGGGUUUCAUAUCUCAAAUAUAAGAUAGAGGUGUAUGCUAAUUUUUUUUAUUCUAAAUUGUCUGCAUAGCUAGGACAAUUUUCUCUUUGAUUAUUGAUGGACACAAGGAUAGACUCAAAGUUCACACAACCAUAUUUUAUAAGUAUUUUUCUGCAAAUUGAUAUCCUAUUGUGUUUAAAUAUUCACUAAUAAAUUAAAUAGUGAUAUGAUCUUACGAUAACAAUAAAACUGAGUCUCGGUGUACUGUGUACGAUACUUAAUCUGGUGCUUGUAGUUUACUUCAACUUGAUGGGAUGAAAUUCUCUGAUGAUCAGCAAUUCAAGCUUUUUUCAUUAUUUAGACUUACAUAUUACCAUAUUCUUAUAUAUGUAGAGAAGCUUUGUUGAACACUUUUACAGGGCACUAAUUGUUUUAUAAGUUAUGUAUGCCUGCAGCUCGCAUGCACACAUACUGAUAUAUUUGAGCCUAACAACUUGGUGCCCUAGAAAAUAUGGGGCCAUAUGCCAUCGCACACCCUAAACAUGCUUAGGUCUGCCAUUGACUGUUUACCAAAACAAUGGGUAAAAGUACAUUGACAUGAAAUGAGGAGAGAAAAUCAUUUGUAUAUAUGAAUAUAUGUAUACAUUAAACACAAAACACAUGGAUUAUGAAGAUGUAAGAAUUAUAAAGCCAACCUUGAAAUUAAAAACAUGAUAUACUACAAUCAAUCCUUGACAAUUUUCAAAAUACUCAAAUAAGGCAAAUCAAAUAUCAUCCUCCUCCUCUCUCUCUAUUGGAGCUGGUGCAUGUUCAUUGAUACUAUAUUGUUUAUUCAGUGCAGGAUUGACACAAGCAAACAGUGAUGAUGCUGAUGAUACUGAUGAUGAUGAUUGAUGAUGCUUUUGUCUCUUUAAUUUAACACCAAACAAGAAAGACCUCAAAGGUUGUGCAUUUUUAACAGCUGCUCUUGCAAUUUCAUCUUGAAUGUUGCAUAAUGAUGAAUAUCUACCUUGUAGUUCAUCCUGUAACACUGCAUUGUGUUCAAGCCAAAGAGAUAACUCA